rnacentral:rRNA from 1 species
AGAGUUUGAUCCUGGCUCAGGACGAACGCUGGCGGCACGCUUAACACAUGCAAGUCGAACGAGAGAAGAGAAGCUUGCUUUUCUGAUCUAGUGGCGGACGGGUGAGUAACACGUGAGCAAUCUGCCUUUCAGAGGGGGAUACCGAUUGGAAACGAUCGUUAAUACCGCAUAACAUAAUUGAACCGCAUGAUUUGAUUAUCAAAGAUUUAUCGCUGAAAGAUGAGCUCGCGUCUGAUUAGCUAGUUGGUAAGGUAACGGCUUACCAAGGCGACGAUCAGUAGCCGACCUGAGAGGGUGAUCGGCCACAUUGGAACUGAGACACGGUCCAAACUCCUACGGGAGGCAGCAGUGGGGAAUAUUGCACAAUGGGCGAAAGCCUGAUGCAGCAACGCCGCGUGAGGGAAGACGGUUUUCGGAUUGUAAACCUCUGUUUUCGGUGACGAACAAAUGACGGUAACCGAGUAGGAAGCCACGGCUAACUACGUGCCAGCAGCCGCGGUAAUACGUAGGUGGCAAGCGUUAUCCGGAAUUACUGGGUGUAAAGGGAGCGCAGGCGGGAUAGCAAGUCAGCUGUGAAAACUAUGGGCUCAACCCAUAAACUGCAGUUGAAACUGUUAUUCUUGAGUGGAGUAGAGGCAAGCGGAAUUCCGAGUGUAGCGGUGAAAUGCGUAGAUAUUCGGAGGAACACCAGUGGCGAAGGCGGCUUGCUGGGCUCUAACUGACGCUGAGGCUCGAAAGUGUGGGGAGCAAACAGGAUUAGAUACCCUGGUAGUCCACACUGUAAACGAUGAUUGCUAGGUGUGGGGGGUCUGACCCCCUCCGUGCCGGAGUUAACGCAAUAAGCAAUCCACCUGGGGAGUACGGCCGCAAGGUUGAAACUCAAAGGAAUUGACGGGGACCCGCACAAGCAGUGGAUUAUGUGGUUUAAUUCGAAGCAACGCGAAGAACCUUACCAGGUCUUGACAUCCGACUAACGAGAUAGAGAUAUGUCAGGUGCCCUUCGGGGAAAGUCGAGACAGGUGGUGCAUGGUUGUCGUCAGCUCGUGUCGUGAGAUGUUGGGUUAAGU